GAUGAACGCUGGCGGCGUGCCUAAUACAUGCAAGUCGAGCGAACAGACGAGGAGCUUGCUCCUCUGACGUUAGCGGCGGACGGGUGAGUAACACGUGGAUAACCUACCUAUAAGACUGGGAUAACUUCGGGAAACCGGAGCUAAUACCGGAUAAUAUAUUGAACCGCAUGGUUCAAUAGUGAAAGACGGUUUUGCAGUCACUUAUAGAUGGAUCCGCGCCGCAUUAGCUAGUUGGUAAGGUAACGGCUUACCAAGGCAACGAUGCGUAGCCGACCUGAGAGGGUGAUCGGCCACACUGGAACUGAGACACGGUCCAGACUCCUACGGGAGGCAGCAGUAGGGAAUCUUCCGCAAUGGGCGAAAGCUUGACGGAGCAACGCCGCGUGAGUGAUGAAGGUCUUCGGAUCGUAAAACUCUGUUAUUAGGGAAGAACAAAUGUGUAAGUAACUAUGCACGUCUUGACGGUACCUAAUCAGAAAGCCACGGCUAACUACGUG
rnacentral:rRNA from 1 species